AGGGCUGCAGCUCAUUGGUAGAGCAUCUGCUUAGCAUGUAGAAGGCCUUAGGUUCAAACCUUGCCAUCUCUA